rnacentral:rRNA from 1 species
UACGGAGGAUGCAAGCGUUAUCCGGAAUUACUGGGCGUAAAGCGUCCGCAGGUGGCUGUGUAAGUCUGCUGUUAAAGAGUCUAGCUCAACUAGAUACAAGCAGUGGAAACUACACGGCUAGAGUACGUUCGGGGCAGAGGGAAUUCCUGGUGUAGCGGUGAAAUGCGUAGAGAUCAGGAAGAACACCGGUGGCGAAGGCGCUCUGCUAGGCCGUAACUGACACUGAGGGACGAAAGCUAGGGGAGCGAAUGGG